UACGGGGGGGGCAAGCGUUGUUCGGAAUUACUGGGCGUAAAGGGCGCGUAGGCGGCCUGUUAAGUCGGACGUGAAAUCCCUCGGCUCAACCGGGGAACUGCGUCCGAUACUGGCGGGCUUGAAUUCGGGAGAGGGAUGUGGAAUUCCAGGUGUAGCGGUGAAAUGCGUAGAUAUCUGGAGGAACACCGGUGGCGAAGGCGGCAUCCUGGACCGACAUUGACGCUGAGGCGCGAAAGCCAGGGGAGCAAAGCGGG
rnacentral:rRNA from 1 species